rnacentral:rRNA from 1 species
CGGACGAACGCUGGCGGCGUGGAUUAGGCAUGCAAGUCGGACGGUAGGGCUUUAUCGUAAGAUAGAGUUUGAGAGUGGCGAACGGGUGAGUAACACGUAGGAAUCUACCCUUAAGACGGGGACAACCCAGGGAAACUUGGGCUAAUACCGGAUGAGAGUGCGAGAGAUUGCAUUUAAAAGGAUGGCGAAAGUUGUCGCUUAGGGAUGAGCCUGCGGUCUAUUAGUUAGUUGGUGAGGUAAGAGCUCACCAAGGCGAUGAUAGAUAGGCGGCCUUAACGGGUGGUCGCCCACACUGGGAUUGAGAUACGGCCCAGACUCCUACGGGAGGCAGCAGUCGAGAAUAGUCUACAAUGGCCGGAAGGCUGAUAGUGCGACGCCGCGUGAACGAGGGAGCCCUUCGGGGUGUAAAGUUCUUUUAUAUGUGAGCAGUGCUUCUUAUAUUAACAGUAUGGGGAGAGAGAUAUUAGCAUAUGAAUAAGCAACGGCUAACUCCGUG